rnacentral:rRNA from 1 species
UACGUAGGGUGCAAGCGUUGUCCGGAAUUAUUGGGCGUAAAGAGCUCGUAGGCGGUCUGUCGCGUCUGCUGUGAAAACUCGGGGCUUAACCCCGGGCCUGCAGUGGGUACGGGCAGACUAGAGUGCGGUAGGGGAGACUGGAAUUCCUGGUGUAGCGGUGGAAUGCGCAGAUAUCAGGAGGAACACCGAUGGCGAAGGCAGAUCUCUGGGCCGUAACUGACGCUGAGGAGCGAAAGCGUGGGGAGCGAACAGG